rnacentral:lncRNA from 1 species
GAACCAGCGCCGGAGCUAGAUUGAAGGUUCUGAAGUUUUCCGUCGUAACAGUGAAAUUGGCACUGAAAUGUAGAGAACCAUCUGAAUGUACCAACCUUAGUAAAGAAACAUAGGGAUCUAGAAGCAACGGGCAUUCACAUGGUCAAAGAAGAAAGCUUAAGCGAUGCAUUUUGUGGCAUUGAUGAUCAAUCUGGGCUGUGAGCAUGGUUGGAGAAGCAACACUUCAAUUCAACAAAUAUUUGGCUAUUUGAGCUUAAGUUAACGGCUAUAAAACAUUUCCGUUUUUCAUAAGGAUACGUUUGCAAUUUCAAUACAUAUAGGGACUAUAGUGGCAGCGUCUCACAGAUUCAAUGACCAAAAUGGAUAUGUUAUGUAGAAUU